UACGAAGGGGGCUAGCGUUGCUCGGAAUCACUGGGCGUAAAGCGCACGUAGGCGGAUUGCUAAGUCAGGGGUGAAAUCCUGGAGCUCAACUCCAGAACUGCCUUUGAGUACUGGCGACCGUUGAGUCCGGGAGAGGUGAGUGGAACUGCGAGUGUAGAGGUGAAAUUCGUAGAUAUUCGGCAAGAACACCAGUGGCGAAGGCGGCUCACUGGCCCGGUACGUGGAGCGCUGAGGUGCGAAAGCGUGGGGAGCAAACAGG
rnacentral:rRNA from 1 species